GGGGGGGUCGUCCCCGUGGCAGGAUUUACCAAGCGGAGGUGAGAAUGAUUACAGGCAGUGCUUGAAGGGGGGGGGGAGCAAGUACCAGUGCUCCUCUUGUUAUUCAGUACCGGCGGAUUAUGAGAAGUGUCGGUACACAAGAAACUCUGAAGAGAAAAACCAAGAUGUACAGGCAUUGCGUACCGGACACUACUAGUCCACUUCCAGCACCGAUUAUAGGCGUUUGCUGUACCCGUGUCCUGUUGUUGCAUGGUUGUAAAGCUACGGAAUGGAUACAGUGAGGCAACAAGAUGGCUCACACCCAACCAAUAUAGAUCACUACAGGUGAAGUGAAGCAUGGAGCAUGUAGGCAUCAACCCUAUAUGUUUGUGCCUGUGUCAAUGGAGGAAUUGGAUGUUGCGGAACAGCCGGUUGCUCGGAGAUUGAAAAGGCUUCUGAGUGGCUUCCUUCUUUUACAUUUUCAGCAAUUAUACUUGAAAGAGGGAACAGUAUUUGAGACUGACGGGGGGCUUGCUUUGGGAUGCCCACUCUUCAUCGCCCCACGCCCUGCAGGAUGCCCUCUGCCCAUUCCCAGGACCCUGGGCUCAACGGCUGCUCAUACCUCAGCGAACUCGUAGCAGGAUGCCGCAGGCAGUUGGCAUAAUCCCUGCUUGAUCUGGCUGCAGGCUGCAGUUGUCUUAUACGGCCUGGCCAGCUACCCAGCACUCUAAUCUCCUCUCCUCGUCCCAGGAGAAGGUCAGCGUGGUCUGAAGGGAUGAGACUUGGGGUGUGCGGGCAGCCAGCAGGACUCUAGAUCUUUGUCAUUUCAGAGACUCCCAAACCCUCUCACCCAAAUUCUCAAUGUACGGUGACAUGACAAAUGUUACGGGCGAGAGGGAGCCUCGGCCGUGUGUGAGCAAGCAGGCGCCUGAACCCUGUUACCGUCGCGAGUCUCACAUUACCAUGGGAACUUCCAUUAACAUGAACAUUUUUAUUUGCUGUUGGCACAGCUAAGGAUACAGGCACAUAGAAUUCUUUAAUUUUCACAUAUCCCUACUUGCCCUCCAUGAGAAUAUACAAGUUAAAGGGAAGCUUGGGGGAAGAGAGCAGUUUUGUGGUUAAGGGCCUUGCUGAAGGACCUAGUGGUGAUAUGAUUACUCUGCCAGCCACAAGCACAGGUUCCUAACUCAUGGAGCCACAAGCUGAACGCUGGUCUCAAAGGGCACCAGCUGAUUUAAUUUUCAGCCAGAUAGAAAACCUAUGAGACCAGUCUAAAUCCAGUUCAUAGUCUUAGAAUAUUACCCAGCAAGUUAAUUUCCAAGAUUAUUUUGAAACUGAGAUUGGAAACAUUUCUCAGGGUUUUCUCUUUACAUCAGACUGCAGGAUCUGUGCCUUGACUGAAAGCCCCGAAAAAUGCAACAUCAUUUAUUAGACUUAAACUUGUCGUUUUAUUGAAACAAUCUCAGUAACAUGAUCUGCUGUUCCUGGGAAGGUCGGUGAAAAUAUGAAAAGUGGCACGGGAGGUUGAGAAAUUCACAUUUCCAGUGAAACGCAUCCCAAUGGGUCAGGGCCAUGCUGGAAUACUCCAGAUCACUGUUUCUCAA